UUCACAGAAGUGACAGAAAAAUUAUUAGAUUCAUCUAAAGAUCAAAGACAGGUAAUCAGAUUUUCUUAUUUGUUUUCUUCUUUAUAUAAAUUUUUUGAUUAGCCUGCUUGAAUAACAAAUUGUUUGAAGUCUUGAAGAGAAAUACAAGAGCGGAUUGAUUUUCUGGGCUCGUGAAGAUCGGAGGAAUACAACAACGAAUUGAUUUUCUGGGUUCGUGAAGAGUGAAUUGAUUUUCUGUUCGAUUAAUAAUAUAUUGGAGUUCUAGUGAAAUCUUUAAAUUUUGGUUUGAGCAGUUUGGAUAAGUGGUUGUCCCCUAAAUCUGAUGUCAAGUGUACAAGAGCAAGAGUUACCAGAACCAGACCAUUUCAAGGAUGUUAUGAGUGCUGAUGAUGAAGAUGAUGAUGUUGAGAUGUUAUGAAUGUAUGAUACUAUGAUAGUAUCUGUGUGACUGUGUCUGUGUUUCUUUAA